AGUCAUUAAUAUAAGACCCGAAACUAGGUGAUCUAACCAUGAACAGGCUGCAUUUAAAGCGUCACCGCUUAUUGAAGGGCCGAACUCGUGUAUGUAGAAAAAUACUGAGAUGAUUUGUGGUUAGGGGUGAAAGGCCAAUCAAACCUAGAGAUAGCUGGUUUUCUGCGAAAUCUAUUUAAGUAGAGCGUUUAAAAUUCUUUAUUCUAAGGUAGAGCACUCGAUAAAUAAAGGGAGCGUAAAGUUUUACUGCAUUUAAUGAAACUCCGAAUAUAAAAUUUAAAAGAUUUUAAAUAGACAGACUAUGAGUGCUAAGAUUCACAGUCAAAAGGGAAACAGCCCAAAUUAUUCGUUAAGGCCCUCAAAAAUAAUUAAGUGAAAAAGAAAGUAAAAAAAUUCCAACAGCUUCUAUGUAGGCUUGGAAGCAGCCAUCUUUUCAAGAGAGCGUAACUACUCAUUGGUUUAGUUUUUUAGCGUCGAAAAUGUAUAAGGACUCAAAUUAUUUGCCGAAACAAUAAAUU
rnacentral:rRNA from 1 species